AACUUGAAAAUAGAAUAAAAUCAUAUAGGUUGAUGAAGAAAUUUAUGGGCCUAACUCAUCUCAUAAAACCGGUUCUACAAGAGAAGAUUGUUCAUUGCUUAUAAGCAUGCCCAAGACCUUGUCCACAGACAAUGUGGAAUUAUUCCUCAACAUCAUCCCUCAAGUGUAGGUCAGUAUUUUUUCUGGUCCUUAUCACGGAUAAGUAGUGUGGGCUCCCAUUCGUUCUGAACUUGGCUUUGAUACCAUGAAGAAAUUUAUGAACCUAACUCAUCUCAUAAAAUCGAUUCUACAAGAGAGGAUUGCUCAUUGCUUAUAAGCAUGUCCAAGACCUUGUCCACAAAUAAUAUGAGAUUAUUCC